UCCUCAGCUAGUUUUGUCUCCC
rnacentral:miRNA from 1 species